rnacentral:rRNA from 1 species
GUGGGGAAUAUUGCGCAAUGGGGGCAACCCUGACGCAGCGACGCCGCGUGGGUGAUGAAGGCCUUCGGGUCGUAAAGCCCUGUGGGAGAGGGACGAAACAUCGGUGGGCUAAUAUCCCAUCGACUUGACGGUACUUCUCCAGAAAGCACCGGCUAACUCCGUGCCAGCAGCCGCGGUAAGACGGAGGGUGCAAACGUUGCUCGGAAUUACUGGGCGUAAAGCGCGUGUAGGCGGACCGAAAAGCGGGGUGUGAAAUCCCUGGGCUCAACCCCAGGAAGUGCACUCCGAACUGCCGGCCUUGAGUGCGGGAGAGGGAGGUAGAAUUCCCGGUGUAGAGGUGAAAUUCGUAGAUAUCGGGAGGAAUACCGGUGGCGAAGGCGGCCUCCUGGACCGACACUGACGCUGAGACGCGAAAGCGUGGGGAGCAAACAGGAUUAGAUACCCCUGUAGUCC